UAGCAAGCUCUUGCAUCAGAGGUUCUAGUCUUCCCUCUGAUGCAAGAGCUUGCUAAU
rnacentral:pre_miRNA from 1 species